rnacentral:lncRNA from 1 species
CCUGGUUUCUGUGUUAGGCUCCUGGAAUUCUGCAUUUGCUUCAUCUGGAGUACAACAAAAAUAUUUUGAUUAAUUUUAGAGGCAAAGCUCCUUGGAAUAAAAUUUGCUUUAAUAAUGGAAGUGCAUUAAAAAUUUAUAUGAGAAGCGGGGAUUUAUGUCUCCCUGGGAGCUGAGAUUUAAAUACAAUCUUACCUGAAACAGACAUUCAAGAUGUAAUAAACACCAGAUUCUCCCUGGACAUUUCAGCCCUGUGAGGUCUGCAUUCCCAUGCUGUUUAAAAGCCUUUCUGGGAGAAGCUGGCUUCCCCCUCGCAGCUUUUCUCUGGUCUCUAGCACAACUAAACACACUCCCUCUUGGUGAAGUGAAAGCCUCUUACCUCUCCUGUUCCCAUAUUUCUGACCACCUCUCCUGCUGACCUCUCUCACAGUGUGGGCCAAACCCAAAGCUGUGCUGGUGCUGAAACUCCAGCAGCACUGCCUGGGAUGGAGUGAUGCCCUCCCAGACUCUCCUGAGCAUCUGCACAGCCCGGAGGAACCUCUGCUAUUUUGCUUUCCAAGCCAUUGGGUAACCAGGUUGGUUACCCAAUCUGGACCAGAGCUGCUGCUCCCCAAGCCAGGUUUUUGGGGGUCAGAGUGGAGUAAUUGCAUCUGAAAUUUGAGAGCACAGGACGUGGAGUAAGGAGCGUGGUACUCUGCUCUGAACAGCCUCUCUGGCAACUCGUUUGAGGUACAGGGCAAAAAAGAUAACAAACCACCACCACAAAAAAAAAAAACAAACAAAACAAACCCUCAAACCAAACCCAGCAAACAACCCCCAAAAAAAACAGCACAGGGAAAUGGUUUGAAUAUUUGCCCAGAGAUGAAUUUGGGUUUUGCCAUGGUAGCGAUGAUUUGCAUGGGAGGAGAAAAUUUAAGAUUGUUAAGAUUGGU